AGCUUGCUUUUGAUCAGUUAGCGGCGGACGGGUGAGUAACACGUGGGUAACCUGCCUGUAAGACUAGGAUAACUCCGGGAAACCGGGGCUAAUACUGGAUAACUUUUCUCUCCGCAUGGAGAGAGAUUGAAAGAUGGCUUCGGCUAUCACUUACAGAUGGACCCGCGGCGCAUUAGCUAGUUGGUGAGGUAACGGCUCACCAAGGCAACGAUGCGUAGCCGACCUGAGAGGGUGAUCGGCCACAUUGGGACUGAGACACGGCCCAAACUCCUACGGGAGGCAGCAGUAGGGAAUCUUCCGCAAUGGACGAAAGUCUGACGGAGCAACGCCGCGUGAGUGAAGAAGGUCUUCGGAUCGUAAAACUCUGUUGUUAGGGAAGAACAAGUAUCGUUCGAAUAGGGCGGUACCUUGACGGUACCUAACCAGAAAGCCACGGCUAACUACGUGCCAGCAGCCGCGGUAAUACGUAGGUGGCAAGCGUUGUCCGGAAUUAUUGGGCGUAAAGCGCGCGCAGGCGGUCUUUUAAGUCUGAUGUGAAAGCCCACGGCUCAACCGUGGAGGGUCAUUGGAAACUGGAAGACUUGAGUGCAGAAGAGGAGAGUGGAAUUCCACGUGUAGCGGUGAAAUGCGUAGAGAUGUGGAGGAACACCAGUGGCGAAGGCGACUCUCUGGUCUGUAACUGACGCUGAGGCGCGAAAGCGUGGGGAGCAAACAGGAUUAGAUACCCUGGUAGUCCACGCCGUAAACGAUGAGUGCUAAGUGU
rnacentral:rRNA from 1 species